rnacentral:rRNA from 1 species
GAUUAACGCUGGCGGCGUGCAUAACACAUGCAAGUCGAACGAUGAAACUUAAAUGAUUUCUUCGGAAUGAACUUAAGGGGAUUAGUGGCGGACGGGUGAGUAACUCGUGAGUAACCUGCCUUACACACGGGGAUAGCCGGUGGAAACGACGAAUAAUACCCUAUGAAACUAUCACUUCGCAUGAAGCGAUAGUAAAAGUGUUAGCGGUGUAAGAUGGACUUGCGUCUGAUUAGCUAGUUGGUGAGAAAAAAGACCACCAAGGCAACGAUCAGUAGCUGGCUUGAGAGAGUGGACGGCACCACUGCGAGUGAGACACGGAGCAGACUCUCACGGGAGGCCGAAGUGGGGAAUGUUGAACAAUGGGGGAAACACUGAUGCAGCGACGCCGCGUGAUUUAGAAGGCAUUCGGGUUGUAAAAAUCUUUUGUAUAGGAAGAAAAUGACAGUACUAUACGAGUAAGGGCCGGCUAAUUACGUG